rnacentral:rRNA from 1 species
GACGAACGCUGGCGGCGUGCCUAACACAUGCAAGUCGAACGAGUGGCGGACGGGUGAGUAAUGUCUGGGAAAAUGCCUGAUGGAGGGGGAUAACUACUGGAAACGGUAGCUAAUACCGCAUACCAUCAGCUGUGCCCAGAUGGGAUUAGCUAGUUGGUUGAGUAACGGCUCACCAAGGCGACGAUCCCUAGCUGUGCUGAGAGGAUGACAGGCCACACUGGAACUGAGACACGGGCCAGACUCCUACGGGAGGCAGCAGUGGGGAAUAUUGCACAAUGGGCGCAAGCCUGAUGCAGCCAUGCCGCGUGUAUGAAGAAGGCCUUCGGGUUGUAAAGUACUUUCAGCGGGGAGGCGUUACCCGCAGAAGAAGCACCGGCUAACUCCGUGCCAGCAGCCGCGGUAAUAC